rnacentral:ncRNA from 1 species
UAAAGGUUUGGUCCUAGCCUUUUUAUUAAUUUAUAGCAGAGUUACACAUGCAAGCAUCUACAAGCCCGUGAAAAUGCCCUCAACAUCUACAAAAGAUCCAAAGGAGCUGGUAUCAAGUUCACACUGUAGCUAAAAACACCUUGCUCAGCCACACCCCCACGGAAACAGCAGUGAUAAAAAUUAAGCAAUAAACGAAAGUUUGACUAAGUCAUGCAUUUUAUAGAGCUGGUCAAUAUCGUGCCAGCCACCGCGGUCAUACGAUAAGCUCUAAUUAAUAAACCUCGGCGUAAAGGGUGUUUAAGAGUAUAAAAUACUAAGAGUAAACUUAAUUUUAGUCGUAAAAAACCAUAACCAAAGUAAAUCCAACCACGAAAGUGCUCUUACACAAUCUGAACACACGAUAGCUAAGACCCAAACUGGGAUUAGAUACCCCACUAUGCUUAGCCGUAAACAAUAAUAUUUAUCUAACUAAAAUUUUCGCCAGAGAACUACUAGCCAUCGCUAAAAACUCAAAGGACUUGGCGGCACUUCACACCCCCCUAGAGGAGCUUGUUCUAUAAUCGAUAAACCCCGAUAAACCUCACCGCUUUUUGCUAAUUCAGUCUAUAUACCGCCAUCUUCAGCAAACCUUAAAAAAGCACAAAAGUAAGCAAGAGAAUCUAUCAUUAAAAAGUUAGGUCAAGGUGUAACCCAUAAAGUGGUAAGUAAUGAGCUACAUUUCUAAAAAUUAGAAAACACGAACUCCAUUAUGAAAAUUAAAGGACAAAGGAGGAUUUAGUAGUAAAUUAAGAAUAGAGUGCUUAAUUGAAUUAGGCCAUGAAGAGCGCACACACCGCCCGUCACCCUCCUCAAAUAUAUCUAUUACUUUUAUAAAAUAAAUAACAAAUAUGAUAUUCAGAGGAGAUAAGUCGUAACAAGGUAAGCAUACUGGAAAGNNUGCUUGGAAGACA